rnacentral:rRNA from 1 species
AGAGCGAACGCUGGCGGCAGGCUUAACACAUGCAAGUCGAGCGGGCGUAGCAAUACGUCAGCGGCAGACGGGUGAGUAACGCGUGGGAACGUACCUUUUGGUUCGGAACAACCCAGGGAAACUUGGGCUAAUACCGGAUAAGCCCUUACGGGGAAAGAUUUAUCGCCGAAAGAUCGGCCCGCGUCUGAUUAGCUAGUUGGUGAGGUAAUGGCUCACCAAGGCGACGAUCAGUAGCUGGUCUGAGAGGAUGAUCAGCCACAUUGGGACUGAGACACGGCCCAAACUCCUACGGGAGGCAGCAGUGGGGAAUAUUGGACAAUGGGCGCAAGCCUGAUCCAGCCAUGCCGCGUGAGUGAUGAAGGCCCUAGGGUUGUAAAGCUCUUUUGUGCGGGAAGAUAAUGACGGUACCGCAAGAAUAAGCCCGGCUAACGUUCGUGCCAGCAGCCGC